rnacentral:rRNA from 1 species
ACUCCUACGGGAGGCAGCAGUGGGGAAUAUUGCACAAUGGGCGCAAGCCUGAUGCAGCCAUGCCGCGUGUGUGAAGAAGGCCUCGGGUUGUAAGACUUUCAGUUGUGAGGAAGGUAGUGUAGUUAAUAGCUGCAUUCAUUUGACGUUAGCGACAGAAGAAGCACCGGCUAACUCCGUGCCAGCAGCCGCGGUAAUACGGAGGGUGCGAGCGUUAAUCGGAAUUACUGGGCGUAAAAGCGCAUGCAGGUGGUUUGUUAAGUCAGAUGUG